GACGUAGGGGGCAAGCGUUAUUCGGAAUUAUUGGGCGUAAAGCGCUCGUAGGCGGGACGGGAAGUCCGUGAAGAAAGACCUGGGCUCAACUCAGGGACCGGCACGGAUACUCUCGUUCUUGAGGCAAUCAGAGGGUGAUGGAAUUCCCGGUGUAGCGGUGAAAUGCGUAGAUAUCAGGAGGAACACCAAUGGCGAAGGCAGCUCGCUGGAACGGUACUGACGCUGAGGCGCGAAAGCGUGGGGAGCGAACAGG
rnacentral:rRNA from 1 species